ACGGGAGGCAGCAGUGGGGAAUAUUGCACAAUGGAGGGAACUCUGAUGCAGCGAUGCCGCGUGAGGGAAGAAGGUUUUCGGAUUGUAAACCUCUGUCAACGGGGACGAUAAUGACGGUACCCGAGAAGGAAGCUCCGGCUAACUACGUGCCAGCAGCCGCGGUAAUACGUAGGGAGCGAGCGUUGUCCGGAAUUACUGGGUGUAAAGGGAGCGUAGGCGGGCUUUUAAGUCAGAUGUGAAAUAUAUGGGCUCAACCCAUAGACUGCAUUUGAAACUGGAGGUCUUGAGUGAAGUAGAGGUAAGCGGAAUUCCUAGUGUAGCGGUGAAAUGCGUAGAUAUUAGGAGGAACAUCAGUGGCGAAGGCGGCUUACUGGGCUUUUACUGACGCUGAGGCUCGAAAGCGUGGGGAGCAAACAGGAUUAGAUACCCUGGUA
rnacentral:rRNA from 1 species